UGAAUACGAGACGCUAAGGCGUCGAAGUAGUGUAUGUCAUACUUCCAAGAAAAGCUUGCACUGUCAUAGAUAAAAAACGCCUGUACCAUAACCGACACAGGUGGGUAGGUAGAGUAUACUAAGGGGCGCGAGAUAACUCUCUCUAAGGAACUCGGCAAAAUAACUCCGUAACUUCGGGAGAAGGAGUGCCUUAUUCUUAAGGUUGCAAUAACAAGAUCCAAGCAACUGUUUAUCAAAAACACAGGUCUCCGCUAAGUCGUAAGACGAUGUAUGGGGGCUGACGCCUGCCCAAUGCCAGAAGGUUAAAGAAGCUGGUUAGCAUUUGCGAAGCUAGUAACUGAAGCCCUGGUGAACGGCGGCCGUAACUAUAACGGUCCUAAGGUAGCGAAAUUCCUUGUCGGGUAAGUUCCGACCCGCACGAAAGGCGUAAUGAUUUGGAUACUGUCUCGGAGAGGGGCUCGGUGAAAUAGACUUGUCUGUGAAGAUGCGGACUACCUGCACCAGGACAGAAAGACCCUAUGAAGCUUUACUGUAACUUGAAAUUGAAAUUGGACUUUAUUCGCGCAGUAUAGGUGGGAGGCGUUGAUUAUAAUCUUGCGGGAUUAUUGGAGCCAUUAGUGAGAUACCACUCUUGUAAUGUUAGAUUUCUAACUUUGAAUCAUUAUCUGGUCAAAGAACAGUUUCAGGCGGGCAGUUUGACUGGGGCGGUCGCCUCCUAAACGGUAACGGAGGCGUACAAAGGUUUCCUCUGAACGGUUAGAAAUCGUAUCUAGAGUGUAAAGGCAUAAGGAAGCUUGACUGUGAGACCUACAAGUCGAGCAGGGACGAAAGUCGGUCUUAGUGAUCUGACGGUACUGAGUGGAAAGGCCGUCACUCAACGGAUAAAAGUUACUCUAGGAUAACAGGCUGAUCUCCCCCAAGAGUUCACAUCGACGGGGAGGUUUGGCACCUCGAUGUCGGCUCAUCGCAUCCUGGGGCGGUAGUACGUCCCAAGGGUUGGGCUGUUCGCCCAUGAAAGCGGUACGCGAGCUGGGUUCAGAACGUCGUGAGACAGUUCGGUCCAUAUCCGGUGUAGGCGUUAGAAUAUUGAGAGGAGCCUUCUUUAGUACGAGAGGACCGAGAAGGACAUACCUCUGGUGUACCAGUUAUCGUGCCAACGGUAAACGCUGGGUAGCUAUGUAUGGAGUGGAUAACCGCUGAAAGCAUCUAAGUGGGAAGCCCACCUCAAGAUAAG
rnacentral:rRNA from 1 species